GGGCGGUUAGCUCAGCUGGUUAGAGUGCUAGCUCGACAAGCUAGAAGUCACUGGUUCGAAUCCAGUACCGCCCA
rnacentral:tRNA from 1 species